rnacentral:lncRNA from 1 species
GUGUAUGUUCUUCUAUAAUUAUAUCAUAUAUAGUUCCCACUGAGAAUGUAUUUCCUAUUUGAGAUGCUUGAUGAUCAACAGUCAACGAGGCUGCCAAUCAGACCCAUAGCCCCGUGCAAAGAAGAUAAAUGUUCUGACUUAUCUGUGUUGAUUUAUGCCCAGCUGGGUCAGCAGCAGGCUCAAAGUUUAGGUAUCCAGCGCCGGUUGUACCAAUCGUUGACAAUCUUCUUCUUGCUUCAAACUCAUAAUCUCCAAUGAGCCCUGUGGCAAUAUUGCCUUUGUGGUGCACUUCAAUCUACAAUGAUAAAGUGAGAAAAGAGUACAGAAUGGUAACAGUUAUCCUAAGUAUAUAGAGAAGAAAAAUAAAUAAAGGAUGAUUAGCAACACGAACCUCCAAGUGAUCAUGGUCUUCUUCUUCUUCAUCAUCGAAAGCAGUAAGCAAAGCUGCAGAAGUCAGAAACACAGGAAGAUAAAAAAAAUAAGGAAUUGUAUCAAUA